UGGGGAAUCUUGGACAAUGGGGGCAACCCUGAUCCAGCCAUGCCGCGUGAGUGAUGAAGGCCUUAGGGUCGUAAAGCUCUUUCGCCUGUGAAGAUAAUGACGGUAGCCGGAGAAGAAGCCCCGGCUAACUCCGUGCCAGCAGCCGCGGUAAUACGGAGGGGGUUAGCGUUGUUCGGAAUUACUGGGCGUAAAGCGCACGUAGGCGGACCAGAAAGUUGGGGGUGAAAUCCCGGGGGCUCAACCCCGGAACUGCCUCCAAAACUAUUGGUCUAGAGUUCGAGAGAGGUGAGUGGAAUUCCAAGUGUAGAGGUGAAAUUCGUAGAUAUUUGGAGGAACACCAGUGGCGAAGGCGGCUCACUGGCUCGAUACUGACGCUGAGGUGCGAAAAGUGUGGGGGAGCAAAACAGGAUUAGAUACCCCUGGUAGUCCCACACCGUAAAACGAUGAAAUGCCCAGUCGUCGGGGUAGCAUGCUAUUCGGUGACACACCUAACGGAUUAAGCAUUCCGGCCUGGGGAGUACGGUCGCAAGAUU
rnacentral:rRNA from 1 species